rnacentral:lncRNA from 1 species
AGUGUUCCUACUGCUUCUGCAGUGCUUCCUGAACGCCGUGUUACAGUGUUUGAGCAGCACAAGGCCUCUUCGAGACUUUUGUCUGCGAAGGGACUUCCGGCAAGAGGUGCCCGGAGGAGGCCGAGCCCAGGAACUCACAGAAGGUGGGCAACAACUCCUGAUGCUUCUGUUCUCCUUCCCCAUCCCCUUCGGUUCUCUCCUCCCAAUACCCAUGGCUCCCAGCCCUUCAAGCUGACAGAUUCAUCCAUUUCCCCCAGUUUCUUUCUUCCUAGAGAUUUUCUAGCCACUGAAUCUCUUCCUGCCUGCCCUUCCAGACAUUAACUUUGAAUCCCUUCCCCACUGUCAAACCAACAGCCUUUGCAGAUGUGAUUGGUGCCCUCUGGCACCCUGACUCCUGUGAAGCUGUGAAUCCUACCCGAUUCCGGGCUGUCUUCCAGAAAUACGUCCCUUCCUUCUCUGGAUACAGGUGGGAACUGAGUGAAUAGGAUUUCUCUCUGGCUGUGUCUGGGGUUGGGCCAAACAGAGGCUCUAGCAGCCAUGUUCUGAGCCUUGAGGUUUCCUACAGAGGAAACAGGGACCCAGAUUGGGCAGGGGAUACUUGUGG